CGCCCCGGCACUGCGCCAGCCCGGUGCCCCGGCAUCCCCCCGCCCCCAGCCCGGCCUGGCACCCCAGGCCCCCCCUGCCCGAGGGUGCCGGGUGCCCCUGCCGGGCGGCCCCCAGGACCGCGCGGUCCCCUCGGCCGGGCCCCGGGCCGCAGCGCCGCCGCCGCGGGGCGAGGGGCGGGGAGCGCGGGGCCGCUCGCCCGGCCGGGCAGCGCGGUGGCGGAAGGCUAACAAUAGCCCACAAAGGGAGGAUGUCUCCCCUCCGCGCGCCCCCCGACGCCUCCCCGACGGGUCUUCGAGGAAACUGCCAGCGGCGGAGCGGGGCCCCGCCGGACGCGCGCCUUCCGAUGAGUUUUGUCCUGUUUACGCUUGUUUGUUUGGAGCGGGGACGGGGGCGGCAGGGCCCGGGCCACCGGCGAGGGCUCAGCGGGUGCUGAGCUGCCACCCUGGCGGCAGGCCUGCAGGGAGGGGGGAGGAAGCCUCGUUAGCACAUGUCACUAAUUACCAGGAUGGAAGUAAAGCUCAGCCUGCCUGUUGC